UACGUAGGGUGCGAGCGUUGUUCGGAAUCAUUGGGCGUAAAGCGUGAGUAGGUGGUUUGCUAAGUCGGGUGUGAAAUCCCUGGGCUCAACCCAGGAAGUGCAUUCGAAACUAGCUGGCUAGAAGAUGGUAGAGGAAGGUGGAAUUCCAAGUGUAGAGGUGAAAUUCGUAGAUAUUUGGAGGAAUACCGGCGGCGAAGGCGGACUUCUGGACCAUUCUUGACACUGAGACACGAAAGCGUGGGUAGCAAACAGG
rnacentral:rRNA from 1 species